GAUGAACGCUAGCUACAGGCUUAACACAUGCAAGUCGAGGGGAAACGGCAUUGAGUGCUUGCACUCUUUGGACGUCGACCGGCGCACGGGUGAGUAACGCGUAUCCAACCUUCCCAUUACUGUGGGAUAACCUGCCGAAAGGCAGACUAAUACCGCAUAGUCUUCGAUGACGGCAUCAGAUUUGAAGUAAAGAUUUAUCGGUAAUGGAUGGGGAUGCGUCUGAUUAGCUUGUUGGCGGGGUAACGGCCCACCAAGGCUACGAUCAGUAGGGGUUCUGAGAGGAAGGUACCCCACAUUGGAACUGCGACACGGUCCAAACUCCUACGGGAGGCAGCAGUGAGGAAUAUUGGUCAAUGGACGGAAGUCUGAACCAGCCAAGUAGCGUGCAGGAUGACGGCGCUAUGGGUUGUAAACUGCUUUUGGAUGGGGAUAAAGUUAGGGACGUGUCCCUAUUUGCAGGUACCAUACGAAUAAGGACCGGCUAAUUCCGUG
rnacentral:rRNA from 1 species